CUCGAGAGGAGGAUGAGGAGAUUAAAUUCAAUUGUGCUAAUUACCAGCUUGAAAUAAUGAGAUGCUUGAGAGAACUCAAUGUUAACAACACUAUUGGAUGGAUUGGAACAUCAAAUAUUGGAGGCUGGAGCAGAUAUUUGGGUUACUUCAUCUUACCAGAUUGGCUCUGCUAUUGGUGGUACUUAUUUUAGCUCAUGAAUUGGAGGUAGUAGAGGAUGCAGAAUGCAAGUUUAUUUGAAGCCAAGUUUCAUUCAAGGUCAUUGAGUUCGGUUGAUAGAAGUAAUGUUUUGUAUAUGACAAUAUCGAACAAAUAUGUAAAGUUUUCGAAAUGUUGAUAC